UACGUAGGGGGCAAGCGUUGUCCGGAAUUAUUGGGCGUAAAGGGCGCGUAGGCGGUCCGGUAAGUCGGAUGUGAAAGCUCGGAGCUCAACUCGGAAAUGGCAUUGGAAACUACCUUGCUCGAGGGUUGGAGGGGGGACUGGAAUGCUUGGUGUAGCAGUGAAAUGCGUAGAUAUCAAGCGGAACACCAGUGGCGAAGGAGAGUCCCUGGACAACUCCUGACACUGAUGCACGAAAGCUAGGGGAGCAAACAGG
rnacentral:rRNA from 1 species